rnacentral:rRNA from 1 species
GAUGAACGUUGGCGGCGUGCCUAAUACAUGCAAGUCGAACGAAGACUGUAGUAAUACUGUCUUAGUGGCGAACGGGUGAGUAACGCGUGGGUGACCUGCCCCGAAGUGUGGGAUAACAGUCCGAAAGGAUUGCUAAUACUGCAUAAUAUCCAAGAGAUUAGACGCUUUUGGAUUAAAGGAGUAAUUCGCUUCGGGAGGGGCCCGCGUCCCAUCAGCUAGUUGGUAAGGUAAUGGCUUACCAAGGCGAUGACGGGUAGGGGACCUGAGAGGGUGGCCCCCCCACAAUGGAACUGAAACACGGUCCAUACACCUACGGGUGGCAGCAGUAGGGAAUAUUAGUAAUGGGCGAAAGCCUGAACUAGCAACGCCGCGUGUGCGAAGAAGGCCUUCGGGUCGUAAAGCACUUUUUGAGAGGAUGAGGAAGGACGGUACUCUCAGAAUAAGCUCGGCUAACUACGUG